UUCAUAUUUGAAGCUAUGGAUGUGACCCUUGUCAAAAAAUAACCCACUUUCAUACCAAAACACACUUAAACCAACAUAAAACUGUGUUUUUUCUGAGUUUUUCUUAGCGGAAGUUGGUUUUUGCUAAUAAAAGUGAGUUUUAUGUGCGCUAAACUGUGCUUAACUGAGUUUAAAGUUGGUUAUUUUAAGAAGAUGUGUGUUUAAGCGAGUUUUUUUCUGUAAGAAGUCGGUUUUUUGUGUGUCAAAAGUGAGCCUUUUUAUUUAUGAGUUGGUUUAUGUGUGUUUAAGUGUGUCUUUUUGUUUUAUAAGCAAGUAUUUUACAACAGAAGUUGGUCUUUUUUUAAACAGAAGUGGGUUUAAGCGAGUUUAACUUGGUCUUUUUGUAAAUAAGUUGAGAGCUGCAACGAGGCUUAAAGACUCACUUUAACACACUUUUCAACAAGUUGGUCUUUUGUUUAUUAAUAUAACUCAUCAAUGAAACAAUAAUUCUUCAACUGGGUCUUUGUUUAAUGUUUAUAGCCAUAAAUAAAACAAGUCAAUUGUAAAGGGGCUUUUUUUACAGCUUGUUUGCCAUUGUCCCUAUUGUACAUUUGUGUGCUCCCCAUAAUUUUUAGGGAAUUUUGGAUGAAAAUGGCUCUUUCAGAACAUCACAGGUUCACAGAUGGACAACAAGUAUCACUGACAAAAACUAUAACAAUGGUCAAGCUUAGUUUUAUACAUGAAAAUGAAAGAGUUUGUGUUUCACUUUGAUUUUUUUCUUUAUGUUUGUUUUUAUUAUAAACAAUAUCUUAUGAUUGUUUUAUGUCUUAAUUUUUUAUUUUUUUUAAACAAUCUCAUAUGAUUGUUUAUAUUUGUUUAAAACAGUAUUUACUUGUUAAAUCUGCAUAUUUAAAUAAUUAUGGUAUUGGAAACAUUAUUUUGGAAAUAAUCUAUUUAUUUUUGUACAUAAGUUAUGCAAGAUUUUGAUAUUUGCAUAUGAUACCAUCAUAUCCAUUUUCUUAAUUUGCAAUAAAAUAAUAAAAUGCCAAACAUGACCUGUGUUACAUAAACUGUCAACAAAAUAACAAGACAAUACCUAAAAACACCCUUAUUUCACACCACUAACAAUAAACAGAUAACAAUCUGUCAGGCAUUCAGAGCUAAACAGGGUACUGAUUAUCUAGGGGUAGAUAAGGCUACUGAUGGGGUUUGCCUAGAGAUAAGGCUGUGUGGAAUAAGAUAUAAGGCUUUUGAUUGGCUAUUGCACUGAGGAAGUUAUCUUUUUGAAAACAACAACUUUUGAAAAAUAAGCUGGUGUCAGCAAUUGAAUAUUGAGCUAAAUUUAAUUCAGCAACAUUAAUAUAAAGAAGUGAAAGACUUAUAAUGGUAGUGUAAAAUGUCUUGAAAUUCUGUCAGCAUGAAGUAUUGUGUGAUGAAAACAAUGUGUUUUUUACUGCAAUGUGGAAAUCAAUAAUAAGUUGGUUGGAAAGGAGGUUGAACUGCCUGUUGUUGUUUUUGGAAUACUGAAGAACAGUUUUAACAGGUUAAACUCUUGCCACAAGGCAAAAUUGACAUCGAUGGGAAGAUCCUUUGGAAAGAAUGUGCAUCAUCGCCUGCCUGAUGUAUGGACUUUUAAACCUGGUUUUUACCCUGCACAAGCUGGCAAACUUGAGGGGACCAAGAGUGGGAAAACCUCGCCCUGUCCUUGACCAAGAAAGCUCGAUUUGUUGAGAGAUCAACUGGCAUAAGAGAUGCUCAAGAGGAGAAGGACACAAGCAGCAUCAAUGGUACAACUACGUGUCGCUCCAGCGCCCGCUUUCCAGGUAUCUACCAGCUGCUUUCCAGGUCCCUCCACCCGCCAAGAUCAGGUCUAAUUCCCUGCACUGGCUGCUUUCCAGGUCCCCUAGCAGUCAAGGUCUCUCCAGUAGCUGCUGUGCAGGUCCCAACACCGUAUGCCGUCAAGGUCCCUCCAUAAGCUGAAAUCCAGGUUCCUCAUUCCACUGCGGUGCAGGUACCUCCAACAGCUGAGAUCCAGGUCUCUGCAGCAGCUGCGGUCUAAAUACUCCACCCGCAGUGGUCCAUUGCGGUCAACCUUUUGCUUUAAAAUCUUCCAUAAAUGUCUAUUAUUUUAUAAUGUAUUGUAAAAAUAAACUGUUUGUAUAAAUUUGCGGUGUACUAUUUUUGUCAUAUAAACAUAAUUUUCGUACACAUUGUGUUUUUUUCCCUUUUAACCACAUGGGGCUUAUAAUGAACUGUUGUAAUUGCUUCACAAAAAACAUUUUUUCUAGAACAUAUCAGUCCAAAAUUAUUUUUUUUCACACUGCAAAAUCCCACAAAAGGCUCACAAAAAACCUACUUUCUUAAAAAAACUCACUAAAACACUGUUAAAACCCAUAAAAAUCAACUUACCCAAACCCACAAAUUUCUUUUGUUUUUUUCACAGAUAAAAUACUGUUAAUAACUAGGUUUAAAGCGAGUUAAAAGCAUGUUUUCACUGUGAAAAAAACUAACAAAGGCGUGCUUUCAGCUCACUUUUCGCUCACUUAAAAACCGUGUUUAGCCUGCUUAUAGCUCACAUAAAAAACACACUUUUUACCCACUUAAAACCAACUCCACAGACAGAAGUUGGUCUAAGCAUGUUUAAAAAACCUCAAAAAACCAACUUGUAGAAAAUCAUACUCACUUUAAACCCACUUAAGAUGGUUAAAAAACCCACUAUGUUGGUUUAAAGCGAGUUAAACCAAGAUUUAACUCAGAAAAAACCAAGUCGGUAAGCUAAAAAACCCAGUCGGUAAGCUAAAAGCGUGUCUGAAAAACCCGCUUUUAGCACAGUGCAAAUACCGCAGAGUUAAACACAGAUGCCUGAAAAAAACUCACUUUAAACCCACUUAAGACGGUUAUAAAACCACUAUGUUGGCUUUAAGCGAGUUAAACCAAGAUUCAACUCAGAUAAAACCAAGUCGGUAAGCAAAAAGUGUGUUUAAAAGACUCGCUUUUAGCUCGGUGCCAAUACCGCAGGGUUAAACCCAGUUUAAAACUGGGUUAUAACCGGAUUUUGCUCACUUUUUUGACAAGGGGAACCCACCCAAAGCAAUUGUUCAAUUGUGACCCCACCCCUUUGAUGUUUUAGCCUUUCAACUAUCUGUAUACUCAACUUUCUGAAUUAUGAUUAUUCGUUAAUGAACCAAAAUUUUUAAUUAAAUUCCUAGUCACAAGCCUUAUUUUUAUUGUUUAAACAUAAUGCAAAUAUUAUUUAUUUUUUUAAUAUAUGACAAUUAUUUUGAAAAUUGUCAUUUUACCACACUAUGAACAGGUCACUUCAAACCAUUUGCAUAUGACAUUCUUAAUUCCUUUCAUGAUAAGUAUUAAUACAUUUCAAGAUAUUGGUAAAAGUAUUAAUGGAAGCUACACAAAAGUUUUGUAUUGGAUUUCUGUUGGUAUUUAUAGUCUGUCUGAAAUAUGCAUUACUUCUUUGCCAUCCAGUUGUUUUAAAAGAUACACUAUUACAGACUGAAAGAAAUCAGUGAAGCUUUCUGGCGGGAGAAUCAUGUGUUUUUGUCUGUUUGAUUUUUGAAGCAAAAUUUGAAAGGCUAAAACGUUUUGUUUUGUAAUAACAUGUUUUCGCCUCUGACAGAAACAGUUCAAAUCUGUAAGGAAAUGUAUGAAUGUAUCCAAAGGUUAUCCUAUAUAAUACAAAACCUUUUAAAUUACUUCUACUUUGUUUCUCAACAGCAGGACUUCUUCCGGCAUCCUCUGUUUGCAUGUUGUCAACAUAAAUCCUCUUUAAACAAAUAAUCAAAAGACAUAUCCUUACUCUGACACAUUUGUUCUGGCAACACUCAUGCGGACACUUUGCUGCUCACCUUAUAAGCUCUUCACCUUCUUAGGAUUAUUGUUUUGACACCAUGCAAUAAGGCAAUACCGAAUAAUAUU